AUAGCCAACUAUGUUUUCAACUAUGAAAUGAGACCAUACAAAGAAGAUUAGCAUGCCCCUGCACAAGGAUGACACUCACAAAUCGAAAAAUGGUCCAUAGAUCA
rnacentral:snRNA from 1 species